UUUUAUCUUAAAUGAUGAAUGAUCAAAUGAUGAAAGUUUAAGCUGGGAUAAGAAAUUAUUAUAGUCUCAAAUAUCAGAAGUGAUGAAUUUGUGUCAAGUGCAUAUUUGCUUUUAAUUGAUUUUAUAUACAGCUUUUUAAUAUGAGAUGCAGUCUUUUAACUGGAUCAUUUGGGAGUAAAGAACUGCAGCACAUCUUUGUCAUCAGUCAUUUGAUUCUGUUUAAAUGGAAGAUAAGAUGCUAUAAUUUGAAUGAAUGGAGACUGGUCUUCAUGCAAAGCAAAUUUCUUUGCAAGUUUACAAAUGAGACUAGUACUUCUUUUUUCUAUCCUGAAUUUGCCUAGAUUCCAUCUAAACACUAGAGCUAGUCAUCUUGUUUUCUGCAGAAAUAGCAACCAGUCUGCUGGCAGAAAUAUUUUUCUAUAUAAGUACUGUAGGUUCUGCUCAUCUCUGCUCUCCCCUUACAUGUUCAGCAUAAAUAGAUGAAUUUUUUUGGCUUUAUAAUUAUAGAGGAUUUUUUUUAGGUGCAAAAGCAGUUAGCCCUUGAAGCUUUUAUCCUUUUCAGUUUCUCAACACAUUAAUUGAUAAUUCUGUUCAGAUGUUGUGAACUCCGAACACUUUACUCAAUGAACUUAAAGUGUUCAUCACUCACAGAGCUUCUGCAGCUUAGUAAGGGGUUUCAGAACUGUUACAGAAGUUGUUGGGCAAAUGUAAAUGUUCCAGUUUGUGCAGGAUGUAGAAUAACUGUAUUAUAAUUGUAUUUCAUGGAUACAGUACCAUAUAUGAAAUACAAAUGCAAUAUAAAAUUUUGUUUUAAA